rnacentral:piRNA from 1 species
UGAUAGGCACAGUCUGCAUUCAUGGGUGGC